rnacentral:rRNA from 1 species
UACGGAGGGUGCAAGCGUUAUCCGGAUUUACUGGGUUUAAAGGGUGUGUAGGCGGGCUUUUAAGUCAGUGGUGAAAUCUCCGGGCUCAACCCGGAAACUGCCAUUGAUACUAUUAGUCUUGAAUUUUGUUGAGGUAGGCGGAAUAAGUCAUGUAGCGGUGAAAUGCAUAGAUAUGACUUAGAACACCAAUUGCGAAGGCAGCUUGCUAAACAAAUAUCGACGCUGAGGCACGAAAGCGUGGGGAUCAAACAGG